GCGGGACCUCGGCGAAGGAGUGGAGCUUGAGAGUUGAGGGAGGUGAAGCGCGUUGGUGGGCGGAGUCCUGCCACCUGCUCUCGCCGCCCUUAAACUCUCUGGGUAUAGAGCUACGCUGAAAACAGGAAAACGUGACGGUGUGUUUUGCUCGCGAAAGUUCUCAGUCUUCGGUUUUACUCCCCGCCUCCGGCCCAGGCUAACUUUCCCCACCUGUCGGGGAGGGUCAAGGUGACUCCAAGUCUUACAUGUGGAGACCCACAGACUUCCGGGGCUGGGAGACGGCUGAGGUGCAGCACUGGCCGAGCGAAGGCAGGACCCGCUCUGUUCCAGGUCCCUAGCCGCUCAGUUGCUGGACUCGCCCUCCUGCACCCCCAAUAAUGAAUCGACGCUCUUGUGUUUAAUGUGAAGCGGAAUAAGCUGCUUCUCCCGGGGACAUGAACUCGAGUAGGAGAAUUAAGCCAAGAGAUAAGUUGAACUAUUACAUGACUGAAGACUUUCGAGCUCCAAAGCUGGCUACUUUUAGAAACAUUCAAGAACCAGGGCCCCCACCCAGGUGGAGGAUGGCAACUUCAGGCUGAGGACAGGAUUCCUGAAACACAGUUCCGUUACAAUACUGCAGCUCUCACCCCAAAUUUUGCCUAUAAAAAGUUUUCCCCCCAAAACUAUUGGGGCAUUCGGGGGUUUUGAGCUUGAGCGACCCAUUCUCUUUGGGCCUGCAAAAAACUGUCUCUGCUCCAAACUCUGAUGUUUCGGGUUGUUUGGCCUCGCUGUGCACCAAGUACAUGAACAUUUCGGUAACUCUUCUGCAGUAUCUGAUAUCAGACUAUUGCUCCAGGAUCCUGCCCUUCCCCUGAAUAGAAACCAAUUACUCUUAUCUAAGUCUCAGGAGGCAGCCGCAAGAGAAGAAACAAGAGCUGGUUAAAACCAACAGAGCCCAGGAUGGUGGAGGAUUUGACUUCUGAUGGGCCUUAAGCCUCAUUGUAAACUCACCGUAAUGUAUUAGUAUACUAAAUGACACGCUCACCAGCUCCAAGACAGUUGACAUGACGACAACGACCGGAAAAGCCCAUAUAAGGACUGAAAAGCCCGUACAAGGACUUGUUGGCUCCAUCAUGCCUGGAAGAAGGGCAUGAUGGCAGAAGCCCCCCAUGAAGUCCACUGGCCACCUGGGCUGGCGGCUCCCUGCUUGAGCACUUUUCUUUCCUAUUUCCUGCUCCAGCACUUUCCUUCCUUUUCCCCUUUUGAGAAAUAAAAGCAGCUUUUUCACUUUGUCCCUCUGCCUCUGAUGUGAAAUCUCUCACAGCUGGGAGCAAGGACCCACACUUUGGUGGGCCUUCUAAUUUAGGGGUCUCACUCUCCACUAACAUCACCACUGACAUCUUACCGCAAUUCCCCUUGUCCCGAAUCAUGUCAACAACUAAGUACCAGUAGACAUCACAGGAAAGUCUCAAUGACAGAGAUCACAAGUGCUCCCCUGGCCCCCUUCUCUCCUGCCUGGGCACAGGGAGAGAUCACUUUGCCCAGCCCUGGGACUAGCUCUAGGCAGUGAAAUUUGAUCAGAAGUGACAUGUGCUCCUUCUGGGCUGAGAUGUUUAGAGCUGGGGUGGUGCUACCUUGACACUCGCUCUUCCUCUACCACCCUUGUAAGUGCUGCAACCUGGCUCCUUCCGUCCUGCCCAACUCUGCAUCUACCGGGAGAGACAGUGAUGGAGGCAAACAAGGAGAAAGAGAGGGCAGCUCGGAGGAACCAAUUCAGAGAGAAGAUAAACAGAACAGUCAAAGUGUCUUAUAAACAUUUCCAUCCUGUCUCAUUUGUCUCACCUUGCAACUCUAAACAUUCAUAUCCCAGGUUUGCCUUAUAAAAAAGUACACUGAAGUGGACCCAAAUAGACAGCUUUUCUAUUUUAAGGCCAUUAUGCCCCCAGCUAGGUGCGAUGAUCUCCUGCAUGAACAGCUCACUAAGCGGCCAGUCUCGCAGGGCCAGCAUGACACUGGCCACCACUGUCUACCCCAUUCGUCAUUUCUAGGAGUGCGAGUGGAGCCAGAGACACCUCUUCUGAGUUUCUUCAUGGCCAAGACCUUUCCUUUUCUAACACUAGGUGGAUGGUAGGAAACCAAACAUCUCCUUUUUGGUGAAAGACUGCCAAGAUGUGAAGAAUAACAUGUGGGAGACAGGGCAAACUGAGCUAGAGCACCUGGAACUAAAGGACAGCUGUGCUAACUGUGGUCCCAUCACCAAGGGGAUGAAGCUCUGGGCUGACGGUGGAGGCCAGUUCAGCCUAGCAGUUAGACCUGGAGACCUGGGGUGAGGCAGGUUUAAGUGGAAUCCCACCUCUACCAUUUAUUAGCUGUGCUGCAUCAGGCAAGUUCCUCACCCUCUCUGAUCCUCAUCUUCCCUGCUUUGUUGUUUAGUUCUAAGGAUUAAACCAGAUAGUACAUACAAAGGAUUUAGUGUACUGCAGGUACCACAAAGCAUUGGUUAAAUACCAGGCUGGGUCUCCAAGGUCGUGAGUUCACCUCUUAAAACUCCCUGCUGGGAAAGAAAGUCAUCCAUCCUUGCAGUCUGACCUCCCUGGUAAGAGGUCAGGGGAUUGGGUACUGCAUGUCCUUCAGGACCUUUGUAGUUUUAUAAGACUUGGAAGAGCCCACAUGGAGUUGGUGCAAAAUAGAAUUGCAGGCAAAUGUCUGCAGGGAGCAGAAUUGCAAUGGAGAAAUGACUCCAUCGUUAGCUGUGCAAUUCAACCUAAUCACAGUAGCUAUAUUCCCAGAAACGACUCUGUAGUAAAACAAAAACUUGCACGCUGUGACCUAACAUUCCACAGAAACCACCGCUGAUGGGGUGGGUGUGGUCAUUCUGUGCUGUGGAAACACACCUUUUGUCUGCUGCCCAGGGAGCCUGUUGUGGGGCCAAGCCGGGCUGAGCUGCCGGCUUGGAAAGCUAACCGGGAAGGGCAGGGGAGCCGCCUGAGGGCUGGCUGCGGGCUGCGGGCAUGUGAAAGUUGCUGCCUCUGUAGGCUGUUUUGAUCUUCCAGGCACGAAACAUUCGUGUGCUCUUUGCAAAACCCCUUUUCAGGACUAAUGUUGAUGAUGCAAUGCCAUUCCACAGAGGCGGUGAACAAAGGACGUUGGCUGGACCUCUGGGUGGGACAUUUCCCCAGACCCCUCCACUCAGUGUGUCCUUAAGGACACUCAUCACCUGCCUCCCAGACCUGUUCCUCCACCUCCAUUCUGUAGCCCAGAUUGUUGUGUGGCUUCCGACGAGAGGACUACGUAUAAGGCACGCCGAACAGUGCCUGGCCCGAGGCGGCACUAGGAAAAGCACACGCAUGCUGCGCCGCCUGGGACGUGGUUAAGCUCUGGGUCGGUAAAGUCAGCAGUCAUCAGAACUGUCGUUAUUGCCAUUUGGAUGGAAAAUUCUGGAUUGUGUUAGGUGAGUUGUUACUUCUUUCCUUGUUGCUGAGGAGUGAGGAACACAGAGCUGACCUGCUGAGGGAAUUUUCUGGGCACCUUCUGUGUCAGGAGACAAAACAAUGGUGAGAGGAGAGGCUGGAAGGCUUAACUCCAGAAGAAGGAUUACCAUCUUUGUUGGCCUGGAGUGAAUUCUCUCCCUGGGAAGCCAGAAAGGGGUGGUAAGUCACGUGGUGAAACCCAACGAGACUGACUCGGUGGCCCCUGGCCUUGUGGGGGUUGGCAGCGCGCGGCAGCGUUUAGUGCUCCCCGCCCGGCAGAGGGGGAGGGAGACCAGCUCCCCUGAGCUUCCCUGCCCCCAGGAUGCACGCCGUCUGUGUUGUGUGUGUGUGAGAGGGGGUGUGUGCAUGCAGGCUGUGUGGGUCUGUGUGUCUGUGUAUGUGUGUGUGUGGGGUAUGUGUGUCUGCGUGUACUCGUGUGGUGAGUGUGUGAGAGAGAUGUGUUCAUGUGGGGUGUGUGGAUCUGAGUGCCUUGUAUCUGUGUGUGUGGGGUGUGUGUGUAACACAUGUCUGCGUGUGUGCUGUAUGUGUGAGAGAGAGGUGUGUAGGCAGUGUGUGUGUCUGUGUGUGGUGUGUGUGUGUGUGCUGGGAGUGCAAGGGCAGGAAACUCAUUCCUGCACGACUGAUGAGGAGGCAAGCAUUUUAAAUUAUUCUUAGAUUGAGUGUUUUCUGUUAGUCGGACCAUUUCUUUUACAGGUGCUGGUAGGAAGCAUUAUUUCUCUCCUGGGGACUUUAUUUUCUUCUUAAAAAGUUAAGUAAUCAUACGUGUUUGAAGUAGGUCAACAAAGAGGAGCUGUCUGGUUCUGCUGUCUAAGUGAUGCUGCCUGUAUUGUCGUCUGCAUGACUUUUUAAUUAAAGCGCCUUCCGCGUUCACGAGUAGGAGCUGCACCCCCGUGCCUGAAACCACAGACCCAUUCGCACCGCACACGGCCCAAGAGCGGAGCAUCACAAAACAGCAGACAGGAAGAUCCUGUGUGCUCAUGUGACUUCAGGCUUUGGCUCCAGGGUUUCUACAAAGGCGAGCAGGACAGAGCGGCCACUAUUAUCUCAGAAACCAUGAUAUUGCUUAUGAUCUCAAAAACCGAAAUAGAGUGAUGCCGCGGGUGAGUCAGGAGACAGACGGACAUUCUGAUUCCAGCUGCACCACUUACUGUGUGUCUUGGGCAAGUUUCUGAACUUCUCUGAGCCUCAGUUUUUUGUCUCCAAAUUGGAGCAAACACUACAGCCCUACAAUCUCUUAUCUACAAUCCCCAAAUCCCAAAGCGAUAAAAAAAAAAAGACCUUGUUUUUUCAUUUGGCAGUGAAAUCUAAAUGACCUGAAUUAAUUUGCUGUAAAAUCCUUCCUUGAAUGGACACGAAGCUUUUUGCAGUCUGUGCGUAUUUUAUUUAAUGUGAACAUAGAUGUUUUGCUACAGAA